UUCACAUUAUUUUUUUUUUUGCCAAUAUAGCAUAGAUACUGAAGCGAAAUGGAUAUAUUAGAAAAUCCAUACUACACUCUAACUAAAUAUGUUAUAAUAGCAACAGGACAAAGUCCUUAUCAUCCAAAGUGGUUAAAAUUUUUGAUAAAAUCUUACUAUUCAUUUGUUAUACUGUCUUGUUCCGUUGGGCAGAUUGUAGGUCUUACAGAAAUAUAUGGUGAUAUUGAUUUGGUACUGGAGUGCAUUCCACCACUCUGUUUCGCAUCAAUAAGUAUUAUAAUUUUAAUAAACAACAAUGUCCAAGAAAAACAAAUGAUUCUUGUUUUCUCAAAAAUGCAAAGUGAUUGGAAAACUUUAACAUCAAAACAUGAUGCCUAUGUUUUAUGCAAAUAUGCAAAAAGAAGUAAAUUUUAUAAUGCGUUUUACCUAGUUGGUUUUUUGGGAAAUCUUACUGUCUUCUUAUUUUCACGUACUAUUUUUUUGCUCAUUUAUUUUCUAAAUGAUAGUUAUGAAAUUAGACCUGUUUUAGCUAUUGUUGAUUUUGGUAUAGAUCCAGAAAAAUAUUAUUAUUGGAUAUCAAUACAUCUUCAUCUUUGUGCUUACUUAGGUUCUGUUUUAACUAUAAGUGGAACUAUGAUUUUUACAAUGUUAAUUGAACAUGCUUGUGGAAUAUUUGAAAUUAUAGGACACAAAUUGACAAUUGCUCUUGAGGAAUACCAAAACCAGAGUAACGAACUAAUUUUUAAAAAAAAGUUUCAGCGAGAAAUAAUACUUUGUGUGAGAAUGCAUAGAAGGGUUCUAUCAUUUGUCAAUGAUAUUCAGAAGUUGUUUUCAACUGCGUAUUUUUUUAUAUUUGGAUUCUGUAUAGUUGAUUUAAGCAUCACGGGAGUUCAGGCUGUAAUGAAUCUAGAUAAUGCCAGGGAAGCCACAAGAUAUGGACUUCAUUCAGUUGCUCAAAUUCUUAAUAUUCUUUUUUUAACUUUUCCAACUCAACAUUUAAUAGAUACGAGCACUUGCAUUUCCGACUGCAUAUAUAGUGCAAGUUGGUAUCAUUUGACAUCCGAAAAUCAAAAAUGGUUACUGAUCAUAAUGAGAAGAGGCGCUGAACCUACAAAACUGGUUGUUGGAAGAGUAUUUAUACUUUCUUUGGAGUUUUUUAAAAAGAUGUAUGUAAUUUUCUCAAAAAUGUAAAAUGACUGGGAAACAUUGACAUCAAAACAUGAAGCCUAUGUCUUACACAAAUAUGGCAAUAGGUGCAAAUUAUAUAAUACAGUUUACUGCGUUGGAUAUAUUGGCAGUGUUACAAUUUUCAUGGUUUCACGUUGUAUUUUUUUAUUAUUUCGUUUCACUGAAGAUAGUAAUGAACCUAGGCCGCUCCUAACUCCUGUUGACUAUGGUGUAGAUGAAGAAAAAUAUUACUAUUCUAUAUUAGUGAUGAGUCAUUUCUAUGGUUACGUAGGUACUAUUUUGUUAGUGAAUGGAGCUAUGGUUUUUUCAAUGCUACUUGAACAUUCUUGUGGAAUAUUUGAAAUUAUAGGGCAUAAAUUGACAUCUGCUAUUACGGAAAAUCAAGGUAGCAGUAAGAAACUUAGUUUUGAAAAAAAUCUUCAGCAAGGAAUAAUACUUUGUGUUAAAAUGCAUAAAAGUGUUUUAUUGUUUGUAUAACACAAAUUUUAUCUUAAUCUAAAGAAUUAUUAUAGUUACCCUAAUAGCAUCUAGAUAUUCAAGAUGUCUUACAGACGUUGGAGGAAUAUCCGUUUGUCCAUAGGAUAUCCUGAUAUUUUUGUUUCUGUGAGGGUAAAUGCAAAUAGGACUUAUAAUUUUCAUUAAUCGUAAUAUUUUAUUUUUCAAGAUUUGUCAACUAUAUCGAGAAGUUUCUUUCGAUUACGUAUUUUUUAGUAUUUGGAAUCUGUGUAAUUAAUUUAAGUUUGACGGGAGUUCAGGUAAAUAAUUCACAUCGAUAAUAAUAAAAAAAUACGGACACGCAA